UAGGGAACUGAAAAGUGAACGACCCUUCGGGGAGCUUGCACAGGUGCUGCAUGGCUGUCGUCAGCUCGUGUCGUGAGAUGUUCGGUUAAGUCCGCUAACGAGCGCAACCCUCACUGUGUGUUAUAUGUGUCACACGGGACUGCCGGUUUUAAGCCGGAGGAAGCGGGGAUGACGUCAAGUCAGCAUGGCCUUUAUAUCCUGGGCUACACACACGCUACAAUGGUCUGUACAAUAGGUUGCCAAGCCGCGAGGCGGAGCCAAUCCAAAAAAGCAGGCCUCAGUUCAGAUUGUAGUCUGCAACCCGACUGCAUGAAGAUGGAGCUGCUAGUAACCGCAGGUCAGCUAUACUGCGGUGAAUACGUUCCCGGGUCUU
rnacentral:rRNA from 1 species